GGGAAAGUUGCUCAAUGGUAGAGUGCUUGCCUUGCAUGCAUGAAGCCCUGGGUUCAAUUCCUCAGCACCA
rnacentral:tRNA from 1 species